GACGAACGCUGGCGGCGUGCUUAACACAUGCAAGUCGAACGGAUAGGCCCUGCUUUUGUGGGGUGCUCGAGUGGCGAACGGGUGAGUAACACGUGAGUAACCUGCCCUUGACUUUGGGAUAACUUCAGGAAACUGGGGCUAAUACCGGAUAGGAGCUCCUGCUGCAUGGUGGGGGUUGGAAAGUUUCGGCGGUUGGGGAUGGACUCGCGGCUUAUCAGCUUGUUGGUGGGGUAGUGGCUUACCAAGGCUUUGACGGGUAGCCGGCCUGAGAGGGUGACCGGCCACAUUGGGACUGAGAUACGGCCCAGACUCCUACGGGAGGCAGCAGUGGGGAAUAUUGCACAAUGGGCGGAAACCUGAUGCAGCAACGCCGCGUGCGGGAUGACGGCCUUCGGGUUGUAAACCGCUUUCGCCUGUGACGAAGCGUGAGUGACGGUAAUGGGUAAAGAAGCACCGGCUAACUACGUG
rnacentral:rRNA from 1 species